ACUUUCAAACACUUUUGUAGAUAAAAAACACAGAUUUUGGUUUUCUUUAGUGUUCAUAGAGUUAAUAUGCAUGCACAAUAUGAAGAUUAAUGUUUUUCUUAAGGUUAGAUAGGUUGUUUAGGAAAUUCUAGUUUUACAUUAGAUAUUAAAAAAUAUGAAUUGUUGGCUCUUUGUUGUCAGACUCUUGAAUCCUUUGUCUUUUGUCUAGGGGAUUACAGGUUGCUAUUCACCGUCUCAUUCACAUGAUUAGUACAUUUAUAUCAUGUACCUAGCUUGCAUCUGUUUAUUAUCACCAUCUCAUUUUUGGAUAAGUUUAUCUUCAUCUCAUUAUACAUGUUCAUGUUAGAUAACUUGAUACAUGUUCAUGUUUAACUCUUGUUACAUGGUGCUUCUAUUACAAAAUGUGAUCGCUCAUCCAUUGUCUGCAUUUCUUUUUAGAUUGGUGACCUUGGCUUAUCAAAGGUAAAACAGCACACUUCAAUGUCAGGGGGUGUUCGUGGAACCUUACCUUGGAUGGCACCUGAACUUCCUAGUGGAAAGAGUAACAUGGUUACGGAAAAGAUUAUUUUUUCUCAUUUGGGAUUGUCAUGUGGGAAUUGCUCACGGGACGCGAAUCUUAUGCAGAUAUGUAUUGUGCUUCUAUAAUAGUGGCCAAUAUACCAUACAGUGGCGAUAAAGGGGGGAUAGGAUGCAAUCCAAGGGAAUUAAGCAUGUCUGAGCUAGAAUGACUCACCAGAGUUUUCGCCCAGAAGAUACACAAUCUUAUUGGAGUGCACAUUGAUGUUCCAGCACCUUAUAUGGGAACAAAUCCACAGGAAAAGAAGAUGCCGCACAGGAAAUUUGAGCAUCCCCUGCAUGGGUCCCUUGGAUUUCUCCCAUGGAAGCGUACUGCUCGUCACAGGGGAAAAGCAUGCAGUGAGAGAGAGCUUGCGAGCUUCCAAGAAAGAGUUCAAUAAGAUAGAAGACGAUUUGAAGUUGCUUCAGAGCAUUGGGCAGAUAAUCGGAGAAGUUCUCAGGCCUCUUGACAAUGAGCGAUGUAAUUACUCAUUUCUUUUGUUCUUUAUUUCCAUUUUUUUUUUGGAGGGGGGUUCUGGAAAUUGUUUGUGAAAUCAUUUUAGCUCAGUUUAGAAUCCGAAGUCUUGAUACGUGUCAUGCAAAAAAAUAUGAGCUCUAGUCUAUUAUGGGCUGCUUGUAAAUGGAAUAUUCAAUAUUGUGCUCUUAGUUAUUAAACUGGUCGAUUAAUUUAUUGUAAUGAAUUUAAACUUACUUUUUCUUAGUAAACUCUUCUAUGAUGGUUUGAACUUAAA